AGGACGAACGCUGGCGGCGUGCUUAACACAUGCAAGUCGAACGAGGUUAUUGGAGAGCUUGCUCGAAGGUAGACCGAGUGGCGGACGGGUGAGUAACGCGUGAACAAUCUGUCUCAUACAGGGGGAUAACGCAUCGAAAGAUGUGCUAAUACCGCGUAGGACCACGGCAUCGCAUGGUGCUGAGGUGAAAGGAGCAAUCCGGUAUGAGGUGAGUUCGCGUCUGAUUAGAUAGUUGGUGAGGUAACGGCUCACCAAGUCAACGAUCAGUAGCCGACCUGAGAGGGUGAUCGGCCACAUUGGGACUGAGACACGGCCCAGACUCCUACGGGAGGCAGCAGUGGGGAAUAUUGGGCAAUGGGCGAAAGCCCUGACCCAGCAACGCCGCGUGAGGGAAGAAGGUUUUCGGAUCGUAAACUUCUGUCCUUGGUGAAGAUAAUGACGGUAGCCAAGGAGGAAGCCCCGGCUAACUACGUGCCAGCAGCUGC
rnacentral:rRNA from 1 species